rnacentral:rRNA from 1 species
GGUUUCCAUAGGUGACCUGCGGAGGAUCAUUGUC